UUAUAGUGGACCGGCAUUCGUCAAACUUUUAUGACCCCCUCCCCCACCCGGUGACAGUUGCUGUCUGACAGGUCGUUUUUAUGACCCUUUGACAGGGGGGCGGGACCAUCAAUCAAAAUCUGUACAAGUUGUCAACUUUAGACAGAAAGUAUUUAAUGGUUUUAUGACGGGUCAUUUAGUGGUUUGUUUAUUCCUGAGUGUGUUUUAUGUCAAGCGUAUGCUGUCAUUAAACAUGACGGCUCGUGUGUGACAUUUGCUGUCUAUCACCCCUCCCUUUUCGACCCGUGCGCUUCUCAAUACGGCCUGCAUUUCUUUCACAGGGGUGCGUGUUGUAAAGCGAUUAAAGAUUUCUAAAACUCAAUGUUGGUAAAACAAUCCCCCAUUACGGUGUCAAAAAAGUAAAUGUUUAUUUUAGAUUUUAGACAAAUCAUGAACAAUGCGACGAUUAAAACAUUUGUUUGUAACAUCACAAGUUAUUUAAUGAAAUAUACCGUAUACGUGUAUAGUUUAAGCAAUGAUCUGAGCCAUAACCUUCGGAGCCGGCAAUACUAUAAUCUUUAGACGAAAGUCUAAACUAAAUAAAUUUUUAAACGGUUCAGGAAUUCCGUGAAUCUUUUCAUAACCUGCACUAUAGUUUCACGCGUAUUAAAGAUCCGGCGGUGCCUGACAAAGCGCCGGGUGAGCGUUCAUAUCUGCCAUUUUAAAAUAAUGUUAAUAAAUGUAAUUCUGUCCACUAUGGCAAAAUAGGAUUUUAUUUUAGAUUUAGGGGAAUCUUUAACCAAGUCUCUGAUUAAGACAUGUGUAUACGUGCACAGAUGGUGACAGAGAAACUUAUAUAUGACGUUAAUAAACUUUUAAAUGUUUUUAAGACUUAUUCACCCCAUUUUGGGGUUUUAUUUUUAAUUAAAGGCUUCUUAAAACAUGUGUGAAUAUGUGUAUAUUAUACAAAGAGUCUUAUAUUGUCUGCUCUGACAAAAAUAAAUUAUUAUUUUAGGUUUAGGGGAAUUGACUGCGUGUGUCUUAUAAAUACAACUUGAUAAUACGUUUGUUUUGUAAAGAGACUUCUUUAAAGGCACGCAAGAAUAAAAUAUUUUAGUUGUAACUGGUUAAACUUAAAGCCGAUAUUUUCUAUCGAACUAGUCUAUUUUCUGUUCAGACACAAAGUUUUCUGAUGCUGAUAUUAUGUCAGUGUGUGUUUGUGUGGGGGUCGUGUGAUGUAAUCUUUGAAAGUUUAUGACCGAACCUUUAUUGGGGAGCGACAAGAGAUCUCCCGGAAUCAGUUUGGAUGGAGCAGAGCUGUUAUACUCAAGUCUAUUGGUAUGUAUGUGUUUCGCAGUGUUCGUUCCAGUAUUUUGUCUGAUUUAUUUAAAAACUAAAAAUUCGAUCUCUGGUAUUGCAGCGAAAUUGUCUAAACUGGUGUUUAACUAUUCCUGGUAAAUCGCGGAGAAGAGUGGCCUGAACAAAAAAGUCAGACCGAGACUAGAACAUCCCGCAGCGUAACACGGAAAUCUUGGAACAAAAGAGACGCAGAGUGGAUCGUGUUGUCCGGUUUGGAUAUCAGCGGCAAAGCGAACGUUGUGUGUACUAUUGCAAAAUAUAUAGCGGAUCUCCACGGUUAGGAUACAGACCACAACGCUUUGGACGUAUCUUUAAAAAAGAGAAAAAUCGGAGACUUUUUGGAUUUGUCUGGGACAUUUUAAACAUUUUGUGGCAAAUUGGAUUUAAAACGUUUCGGAUACUGGAUACAUGUGUUGGAUUUGUCCACAGUGCUUGUUUAAGACGUCUUCACCUCAUUUUAGGGUUUAUUUUUAAUUAAAGGCUUCUUAAAACAUGUUUGAAAAUGUGUAUAUUAUACAAAGAGUCUUAUAUUGUCUGCUCUGACAAAAAAAUAAAUUAUUAUUUUAGAUUUUAGGACAAAUGUCUGCGUGUAUCUUAUAAAUACAACUUGAUAAUACGUUUGUUUUGUCAAGAGACUUUUUUAAAGUCACGCAAGAAUAAAAUAUUUUAGUUGUAACUGGUUAUACUUAAAUCUGUUAUUAUCUAUUUAACUAUAAGCUAUAUUUUUCUGAUAAGCCUUAAACAGAAGCUGCUCUGUGAGCGUCUGGGUGUUUGAGAUAAUUCACAUUAGGGGGCUGCUUGUAAACUAGUGUCUUUUAAAACCGCCGUGGUAAUAUGUAAUAUGGUAACUCUGUCAAAAAGUAAAAGGUUUAUUUUAGAUCACACCCUAUUUUAUGGCAAACAAUGCAGUAUCUAAAAGUUUGUAACAACACAAUUUUAUUUAAUGAAAUAUUCAGCAUGGGUAUAGCAAUGAACUGUGCCAAAACCACCGGGGGCCGCCAAUAACACAGUCUUUAGGUUAAGGCUUUUUAUUUUUAACUAAAUAAAAUCUUAAUCUUUUCAUGCACAAUAUUCUGUUCACACCAUUAGAUUGCGGUCCUGCGCUUACAAUAGAGAACAUAAGCGGAUGCGUGUUCAUAUCCAUACGUUAAGAAAUCGACCAUAUGUCAAUUCAUCUUCUGGGGUUUGUUUUU